CCAGAAUGUCAACGGUGCUGAGGCUGAGAACCCCUAAGUUAAGGGAAGCAGGAGAGAGAACACAUGUAUCCCCCAAUCCCAGAACCACUGGACUCAAACAUCAUCACAAAGCAUUCAGCACUCUAGCUGCCCCAAACAAGCUCCAAUCUGAACUACAACAGGUCCUGCCUCAGGCCUUCCCACUGGCUGUGGUCUCUACUUAGAGCACUGAGCCCCACACAGCUGGAUGGAUGGUCUCUUCGGUUCCUUCAGGGACAGCUCAAGUAACACCUUGAAAUCUUCCCCGGACAACUUACUGAAAACAAAUCAGCAACCCUUUCCACCCUCACCCUGCUUUAUUUCUUCCACAGAACCUAUUACACGUUAUCCCCUGUCUGCUUUUCGCUGCUGGGAUGCAAGCUCCAUAAAAGCAGGGAGGUUUUGUUCACUGCUGUAUCCUAGCAUCUGAACAGUGCUUUGUACAUACUGAAUAUGUGUUGGGUGAGUAAGUUUA